UAACAUUAAACUCUGUUUCAGAACCAUAAUGUUUGGAGGUGGAGAGUGAAAAAGUACAUUCCAGCCCAGUCUUUUUUCAGUUUACAAUUCAUGUGUGACGCUAUUACAGAAAUGGGAGACAGAUAGAAGAGAACAUUCUAAGGAAGCACUCUCUGCUGAUGCACACUGCAGCUGUACAAGACAUCAGUGGAGGCCGGCUCAUUGAACAUACCCAGAGUUGAUUUGGACAGAUUUUUAAUGAAACAGUCAGGAACCUCAAGUAAUGGGAACAAUCAGCUACUGAUGGAGCUGUCCCUGUGAUUGAUCUUGUUUGUGGAUGAGACUGCUUCCUUGGUGCAUUAACCACCCCCAGAAGCUGAUUUUGACAGACCAUCCCAGGAAACUGACUCUGAAC